ACACAAGAAAUGCUGCAGAGGUGAAAUACACAAGAAAUGCUGCAGAGGUGAAAUACACAAGAAAUGCUGCAGAGGUGAAAUGGGCAAGAGGUGCUGCAGAGGUGAAAUGGACCAGAUACUUUAAGGGUAAAAUGGACCAGAUGAUGCAAAAGUGAAAUGGGCAAGAGGUGCUGCAGUGAUGAAAUGGGCAAGAGGUGCUGCAGUGGUGAAAUAGGCAAGAGGUGCUGCAGAGGUGAAAUGGAACAGAUGAUGCAAGGGUGAAAUGGGCAAGAAGUGCUGCAAUGAUGAAAUGGGCAAGAGGUGCUGCAGUGGUGAAAUGGACAAGAUUUGCUGCAAUGAUGAAAUGGGCAAGAGGUGCUGCAGAGAUGAAAUGGACCAGAUGAUGCAAGGGUGAAAUGGGCAAGAGGUGCUGCAGAGGUGAAAUGGACCAGAUACUUUAAGGGUAAAAUGGGCAAGAAAUGUUGCAGAGAUGAAAUGUGCAAGAGGUGCUGCAGAAGUGAAAUGGACCAGAUGAUGCAAGGGUGAAAUGGGCAAGAGGUGCUGCAGAGGUGAAAUGGCUAAGACUACAUAGGUAAAAUGGGCAAGAGCUGCUUCAGAAAUGAAAUGGACCAGAUGUUGCAAGGGUGAAAUGGGCAAGAGCUACCUAGGUAAAUUGGACCACAGUUGCUUUAAAAGAGAAAUGGACAAGAGAUGCCUCAGAAAUGAAAUCCUCAAAUCACAAUUUGGGGGUGUUUGGGGAGAUGUGAGCUAAGCAGUCUAAGAAAAAGGAUGAUGGAGGAGCCCUUGAAGUAACAGGGAAGGUAAGCCAGGGAAGGGUUUAGGAGGAAAGACGAUGACUUCUGUUCUGAGACAAGCUUCACAACUGGAGCAGGGUCUCUAAAAUCUCUCCUUUACAGACCUCCCUUCUCCAGAGGCAGAUAGGAAGACCCAGCAAAGAAAUGGGAUCCACCUGCCAGUGGGAUGAGGAACUCAGAGAUUGUAAUCCAAAGCCUCCCACUGGACAGACGGGAAAGUUGAGAUCAGGACACUCCCCUCCCCCCUUUCUAGGGGGUUAGCCGGGCAGACUGGGGUCUCUGGGGUCUCCUCCCCUCCCCCCUUCAGCUGCUCCCAGUUGUAGUUCCAGAAUGGCUCUUCCACUCUCCUGGCCUGUUUGCCAUCUGAAUAACAGGCGGGGGUCCUCUAACCCUUUUUUCUCCCUUUCCAGCCAGGGUCCCUGAUGGGAGGGAGGGGGAACGCCUGAUCCUGGGCCUCAGUUUCUCCAUCUCGUCAAAAGGGUGCCUUCGGUCCAUCCUCUUGGCUCCUCCUUCCCCUUCUCCUUCCCAUCAAAGUCGCUUCAAAUGAGGUGGGUGGGAGGGGAGGGGAAGGGAGGACUGGGAGCAGUUUGCGCCAUAGGGGCGCCGGGCGGGGGAGGGAACAAGUACCACGUGACUCCACCCGGGGACGUUCUUUGGGGGACGGGGGUCCCAUCUUCACAACAACGCUGCUCGCUUCCCUCUCUCCACCGAGAACCGAGGGCCCUACCUUCCGAGGGAGUCCAGCUCAAUCCGUCCCUUCCUUACCUGAGUCUCCGUCACAG